UAACAAGGUUUCCGUAGGUGAACCUGCGGAAGGAUCAUUACCGAAUGUGUGAUAUGUGCAGCAAUGCAUGUAUUGACAAAAAAGUAAAGUCACUGUGAAUUAAACGUGUUGAGGUGAGGUAUCGUAUAAGCGAUUUCAAUGUUGGUUGUCCAACAGCCUCGCCAGUAUAAACUAUAUAAUAUACUCAUUACAUUCCAUGUAUAAAGGUAGUGCUUUGCACUGUCUUGAAAAGGUAACAAAAUGACAACUGCUAACGGUGGAUCUCUUGGCUCGUGCAUCGAUGAAGAACGUAGCCAGUUGCGAUAAGUAGUGUGAAUUGCAGAAUGAAGUGAAUCAUCGAAUCUUUGAACGCAAAUUGCACUCUCUGGAUCUCCAGGGAGUAUGUCUGUCUGAGCGUCGUGUUAAACCUAAACACUUCGGUGUUGCUUGGGAGUUCUUGCAUCACAGCUCAUGCAAGUCUCUUUAUGUGCCUUCGGCUUGUUCGUGUAACUCUCUGUAUUACUGAACAGAAAGCUCAACUUGCUUCUGCCUUUCUGACAGUUUUCAGUUGGUUAUUAUUGCGAGCGAGUCCAAUGCUCGUGGUAGUGCACAACUCCACAAUAACUUACUCUCUCUUCUCGAAGUAACAUUCUUGGAGCGGGGUAAAACCAUCAAUGACCUCAGAUC
rnacentral:rRNA from 1 species